GCGUACUACUCCACCACGAUAGGCGUCUCGCCUGAAAAAAAGGAGGAAAUGAGCCCAGGCUCGGGCUGCGGCAGUGUGGAGACCUGUCGUAAUGCGGCUGAACACCGCGAGGGCGCCUCUUGCGGAGGCAGGGCGCUUAGAGCAAAAGCAAAUGGCA
rnacentral:ncRNA from 1 species